CUAUUUAACCUAAGCUAUUGAUUCUGUUAUUUUGAGAUAUUUGGCAUGGCAUAUUUAAGAAUAUCAUUUUCUGAGUAUGGUUUUGAGAUAUAUAUAUGCAUUUUAAUUUCUGGGAAAUUAUAUAGGUUUUACGACGAGAGGUUAGAACUUUUGAUAAAUGAAAUGGUUUUGAAAAGCUUUGUUUUUGGCCACUCACACUUUCUGUUUUGCGCCCCUCCAUGUUCUAGUUAGGAGUGCUUGUCGGUGGCUUAAGAGGAAUUCACGGCAGCUUUGAUAGAUUAUCACCAAUGUAGAAUUAUCUUUGGUGUUGUAUAAUUAGUAUUCGUCCUGCUGGACUACACUUAGGCUACUU
rnacentral:lncRNA from 1 species